GCAGGCUGCAACCCGCCCUGCAUGAAGCUGGAAUCGCUAGUAAUCGCGGAUCAGAAUGCCGCGGUGAAUACGUUCCCGGGUCUUGUACACACCGCCCGUCACACCAUGGGAGUCGGUAACGCCCGAAGUCAGUGACCCAACCGAAAGGAGGGAGCUGCCGAAGGCGGGACUGGUAACUGGGGUGAAGUCGUAACAAGGUAAC
rnacentral:rRNA from 1 species